rnacentral:pre_miRNA from 1 species
CUUAUACUCCCCCCGUUCCAAAAUUCUUGUCUUAGAUUUGUUUAGAUAUGGAUGUAUCUAAUACUAAAACGUGACUUGAUACAUCCGUAUUUAGACAAAUCUAAGACAAGAAUUUUGGAACGGAGGGAGUAUAUC